GGGCUUGUAGCUCAGUGGACUAGAGCACACGGCUACGAACCGUGGUGUCGGGGGUUCAAAUCCCUCCUAGCCCG
rnacentral:tRNA from 2 species